CACAAAAAAUCGGAAAAUUGAAGAAAAGACAAGCAAUUUACCGGAUGGCUCUUCUAUAUCUCUCUGGAUGUAUGGCAGGCCUUCCAA
rnacentral:ribozyme from 1 species